rnacentral:sRNA from 1 species
CGUGUGAAUGCCACUGAUGUGAGCCCAACAGGAAGUGUGACCUCAUUCUGCUUCUUGGCCUCUGGUUACGCAGGCUGCUUUCAAAAGAAAACAAGAGAAGUUGUAAGACUGACUUUCCCAAGAACUAUACACUCAUUUAUACCAGGAAACAGACAAGAGAACAAGAGGCUGCUGAAGACAAAACUUCUCUGCAAGCACCUGUGCACAGCAAUGUGAAUGGGCAUCUGUGAGAAAAAGAGAAUCUGUGAAGUUUGAGCAAGCGGCCUUCCCAAGAUGUACCGAAUAUCUCAACUGAUGUCAACACCAGUAGCAAGUAAAUGUAGAAGAACUGUGAUACGCAAUUAUCUUUUGAACGAUUAGACUCCUUUUAGCAAUUUCCUUGCUUUGAUUUUGCUGAUACUCAGACCAUUAACCAUCUGUCAGUAGCUUGUGCUUCUUAAAUGCCAGUGUUCACUUUGGCAAUGAUUUUGACUUCAUUUUUUUCCUUGAAAGAAAUGUGGUAUUUUUCCUUCUAGUAGAAAAAAAAUCACCGUUUUUUUUAGAUGCCUGUGCAUAAAUGUGAAAGGAGAUUGUUUAUCAGCUACUAUUAAGAUGCAAAACUGUUUGUGUAUAAAAAAUGCUGAAUGAUUUUGAUAGCUACUUGCAGAAAAUAAGGGCGCUGUUAAAACGGUAGUGGUUUCAAGUUUCUUCCUUCCUCUUGAUAUUUUCUCCCAAAACCCCACUUCUAACUCUCCCUCACACACCCACAGUUUUGUCUUUACAAAUCAACCAGUCC